ensembl:snRNA U6 U6 spliceosomal RNA
GUGUUUGCUUUGGCAGCACAUAUCCUAAAAUUGGAAUAAUAUAGAGAAUAUUACCAUGGCUCUUGCACAGGGAUAACACACAAAUUUGUAAAAUUUGUUCAGAUUAAU